UAGGGAAUCUUCGGCAAUGGGGGCAACCCUGACCGAGCAACGCCGCGUGAGUGAAGAAGGUUUUCGGAUCGUAAAGCUCUGUUGUAAGAGAAGAACGUGUGUGAGAGUGGCAAGUUCACACAGUGACGGUAACUUACCAGAAAGGGACGGCUAACUACGUGCCAGCAGCCGCGGUAAUACGUAGGUCCCGAGCGUUGUCCGGAUUUCUUGGGCGUAAAGCGAGCGCAGGCGGUUUAAUAAGUCUGAAGUUAAAGGCAGUGGCUUAACCAUUGGUCGCUGUGGAAACGGGUAAACUUGAGUGCAGAAGGGGAGAGGGGAAUUCCAUGUGUAGCGGUGAAAUGCGUAGAUAUAGGGAGGAACACCGGUGGCGAAAGCGGCUCUCUGGUCUGUAACGGACGCUGAGGCUCGAAAGCGUGGGGAGCAAACAGG
rnacentral:rRNA from 1 species